AUGGAGGGACGCAGAAAGAUAGGGUAAGCGCGCUGCUGGAUAUGCGCGUCCAAGCAAUUAGGCUGAUGUGUAGGCAAAUCCGCACAUCAUAAGGCUGAGUUGUGAUGGCGAGGGAAAUAUAGUACCGAAGUUCCUGAUUCUACGCUGCCAAGAAAAGCUUCUAGCGAGGAAAUAGGUGCCUGUACCGCAAACCGACACAGGUAGGCGAGGAGAGAAUCCUAAGGUGAGCGAGAGAACUAUGGUUAAGGAACUCGGCAAAAUGACCCCGUAACUUCGGGAGAAGGGGUGCUCUUUUGGGUGUAUGCCCGGGAGAGCCGCAGUGAAAAGGCCCAAGCGACUGUUUAGCAAAAACACAGGUCUCUGCGAAGCCGCAAGGCGAAGUAUAGGGGCUGACGCCUGCCCGGUGCUGGAAGGUUAAGAGGAGGGGUUAUCCCUUACGGGAGAAGCUCUGAAUUGAAGCCCCAGUAAACGGCGGCCGUAACUAUAACGGUCCUAAGGUAGCGAAAUUCCUUGUCGGGUAAGUUCCGACCCGCACGAAAGGCGUAACGAUUUGGGCACUGUCUCAACCAUAGACUCGGUGAAAUUAUAGUACCUGUGAAGAUGCAGGUUACCCGCGACAGGACGGAAAGACCCCGUGGAGCUUUACUGCAGCUUGAUAUUGAAUUUUGGUACAGCUUGUACAGGAUAGGUAGGAGCCUGAGAAGCCGGAGCGCUAGCUUCGGUGGAGGCGUCGGUGGGAUACUACCCUGGCUGUAUUGAAAUUCUAACCUAGAGCCGUGAUCCGGCUCGGAGACAGUGUCAGGUGGGCAGUUUGACUGGGGCGGUCGCCUCCUAAAGAGUAACGGAGGCGCCCAAAGGUUCCCUCAGAAUGGUUGGAAAUCAUUCGAAGAGUGUAAAGGCAUAAGGGAGCUUGACUGCGAGACCUACAAGUCGAGCAGGGACGAAAGUCGGGCUUAGUGAUCCGGUGGUUCCGCAUGGAAGGGCCAUCGCUCAACGGAUAAAAGCUACCCCGGGGAUAACAGGCUUAUCUCCCCCAAGAGUCCACAUCGACGGGGAGGUUUGGCACCUCGAUGUCGGCUCAUCGCAUCCUGGGGCUGUAGUCGGUCCCAAGGGUUGGGCUGUUCGCCCAUUAAAGCGGUACGCGAGCUGGGUUCAGAACGUCGUGAGACAGUUCGGUCCCUAUCCGUCGUGGGCGCAGGAAAUUUGAGAGGAGCUGUCCUUAGUACGAGAGGACCGGGAUGGACACACCGCUGGUGUACCAGUUGUUCUGCCAAGAGCAUGGCUGGGUAGCUAUGUGUGGAAGGGAUAAGUGCUGAAAGCAUCUAAGCAUGAAGCCCCCCUCAAGAUGAGAUUUCCCAUAGCGUUAAGCUAGUAAGACCCCUGAGAGACGAUCAGGUUGAUAGGUCAGAGGUGGAAGCGUGGUGACACGUGGAGCUGACUGAUACUAAUCGGUCGAGGACUUAACUA
rnacentral:rRNA from 1 species